AACGAACGCUGGCGGCGUGCCUAAUACAUGCAAGUCGAGCGGACAGAAGGGAGCUUGCUCCCGGAAGUUAGCGGCGGACGGGUGAGUAACACGUGGGCAACCUACCCUGUAGAUCGGGAUAACAUCGAGAAAUCGGUGCUAAUACCGGAUAAUCAUUUGAAGUGCAUGCUUCGAAUGUAAAAGAUGGCUCCGGCUAUCACUACGGGAUGGGCCCGCGGCGCGGUAGCUAGUUGGUAAGGUAAUGGCUUACCAAGGCAACGAUGCGUAGCCGACCUGAGAGGGUGAUCGGCCACACUGGGACUGAGACACGGCCCAGACUCCUACGGGAGGCAGCAGUAGGGAAUCUUCCGCAAUGGACGAAAGUCUGACGGAGCAACGCCGCGUGAGUGAUGAAGGUUUUCGGAUCGUAAAGCUCUGUUGUUAGGGAAGAACAAGUGCCGUUUGAAUAAGGCGGCACCUUGACGGUACCUAACCAGAAAGCCACGGCUAACUACGUGCCAGCCGCCGCCGUAACAC
rnacentral:rRNA from 1 species